rnacentral:misc_RNA from 1 species
AAGUCGUAACAAGGUAACCGUAGGUGAACCUGCGGUUGGAUCAUUAAUGAUUUUAUUAAUGGGUGAUAAUUUCUACGCUAACCCGUAGUUGAUUAGAACCCUGAACCUAAUGUGAACUGUUAAAGUCUCUGGCGAGACUUUGAGCUCGCCAGUAUUAUCAAAACAUGUUUAGUAGUACCUAGUCUUAUUUUUAAUAAAACUAAUAUGAAACAACUUUUGACAACGGAUCUCUUGGCUCUC